rnacentral:rRNA from 1 species
CCUACGGGAGGCAGCAGUGGGGAAUAUUGCACAAUGGGCGAAAGCCUGAUGCAGCGACGCCGCGUGAGGGAUGACGGCCUUCGGGUUGUAAACCUCUUUCAGCAGGGAAGAAGCGAAAGUGACGGUACCUGCAGAAGAAGCGCCGGCUAACUACGUGCCAGCAGCCGCGGUAAUACGUAGGGCGCAAGCGUUGUCCGGAAUUAUUGGGCGUAAAGAGCUCGUAGGCGGCUUGUCACGUCGGGUGUGAAAGCCCGGAGCUUAACCCCGGGUCUGCAUUCGAUACGGGCUAGCUAGAGUGUGGUAGGGGAGAUCGGAAUUCCUGGUGUAGCGGUGAAAUGCGCAGAUAUCAGGAGGAACACCGGUGGCGAAGGCGGAUCUCUGGGCCAUUACUGACGCUGAGGAGCGAAAGCGUGGGGAGCGAACAGGAUUAGAUACCCUGGUAGUCCACGCCGUAAACGGUGGGAACUAGGUGUUGGCGACAUUCCACGUCGUCGGUGCCGCAGCUAACGCAUUAAGUUCCCGCCUGGGGAGUACGGCCGCAAGGCUAAAACGUCAAAGGAAUUGACGGCUUGGUAGACGUUGCCGACGGCGACGACGAGGGAGGAGG